GGCUCGGUAGCUCAGCAGGCCGGUAGCGCCACACUGUCACUGUGGAGGUCACGGGUUCAAGUCCCGUUCGAGUCG
rnacentral:tRNA from 1 species